CCAAGGAAUUAUCAGAUGCCACGUCUAAUUGUUUGGUCGGGGUAACGUUGGAUACAGAGGUUUUUAUUCUUUUGUUGGAGAGUAUUGCGAUAAGUAUGAUCCAACUGCCUGUGGUUUGACUGCCUGUUGGUUCCAAUGCACAAACUCUGGCCUAUUCUCCAUGUGGGAACACGAGAUGGGUGGAUUCUCUGCCUCAAUGUUUUCUGCCAAGUAAGUGGUCUGGGUCAACCGAUGGGAACCAUAAAGGGUAGCUGCAGACUGUAGACGCUUGAGCAAGUGCACAGCUGGGUUUUAAAGAUGGCGCCCGCACAGGAAUCCUGGGAAGUCCUGACUGUGGCCUUUGAUAAGAUGGAGAAUAUGAUGAGUGGGACAUCGUAGAGGGGUGGUGCGUCGAACCACGUUUGGCAACGUAAACUGACCAAGCCUUGUGGAGAAAAAUCUUCUGUCAAAAAUAACAAUUAACUGGU